GACGAACGCUGGCGGCGUGCCUAAUACAUGCAAGUAGAACGCUGAAGGAGGAGCUUGCUUCUCUGGAUGAGUUGCGAACGGGUGAGUAACGCGUAGGUAACCUGCCUGGUAGCGGGGGAUAACUAUUGGAAACGAUAGCUAAUACCGCAUAAUAUUGACUAUUGCAUGAUAGUCAGUUGAAAGGUGCAACUGCACCACUACCAGAUGGACCUGCGUUGUAUUAGCUAGUUGGUGGGGUAACGGCUCACCAAGGCGACGAUACAUAGCCGACCUGAGAGGGUGAUCGGCCACACUGGGACUGAGACACGGCCCAGACUCCUACGGGAGGCAGCAGUAGGGAAUCUUCGGCAAUGGACGGAAGUCUGACCGAGCAACGCCGCGUGAGUGAAGAAGGUUUUCGGAUCGUAAAGCUCUGUUGUAAGAGAAGAACGAGUGUGAGAGUGGAAAGCUCACACUGCGACGGUAUCUUACCAGAAAGGGACGGCUAACUACGUG
rnacentral:rRNA from 1 species